AGAGUUUGAUCCUGGCUCAGGACGAACGCUGGCGGCGUGCUUAACACAUGCAAGUCGAACGGAAAGGCCCUUUCGGGGGUGCUCGAGUGGCGAACGGGUGAGUAACACGUGGGUGAUCUGCCCUGCACUUCGGGAUAAGCUUGGGAAACUGGGUCUAAUACCGGAUAGGACCACGGCCUGCAUGGGUUGUGGUGGAAAACGUUUUAGUGGUGUGGGAUGGGCCCGCGGCCUAUCAGCUUGUUGGUGGGGUGAUGGCCUACCAAGGCGACGACGGGUAGCCGGCCUGAGAGGGUGUCCGGCCACACUGGGACUGAGAUACGGCCCAGACUCCUACGGGAGGCAGCAGUGGGGAAUAUUGCACAAUGGGCGCAAGCCUGAUGCAGCGACGCCGCGUGGGGGAUGACGGCCUUCGGGUUGUAAACCUCUUUCACCAUCGACGAAGGUCCGGGUUUUCUCGGAUUGACGGUAGGUGGAGAAGAAGCACCGGCCAACUACGUGCCAGCAGCCGCGGUAAUACGUAGGGUGCGAGCGUUGUCCGGAAUUACUGGGCGUAAAGAGCUCGUAGGUGGUUUGUCGCGUUGUUCGUGAAAUCUCACGGCUUAACUGUGAGCGUGCGGGCGAUACGGGCAGACUGGAGUACUGCAGGGGAGACUGGAAUUCCUGGUGUAGCGGUGGAAUGCGCAGAUAUCAGGAGGAACACCGGUGGCGAAGGCGGGUCUCUGGGCAGUAACUGACGCUGAGGAGCGAAAGCGUGGGGAGCGAACAGGAUUAGAUACCCUCGUAGUCC
rnacentral:rRNA from 1 species